rnacentral:rRNA from 1 species
GGANUUGCGANUGGGCGAAGCCUGACGCAGCGACGCCGCGUGGGGGAUGAAGCUUCUCGGAGUGUAAACCCCUUUCGACCCGGACGAAACGCCCGCAAGGGUUUGACGGUACGGGUAUAAGAAGCCCCGGCUAACUACGUGCCAGCAGCCGCGGUAAGACGUAGGGGGCCAGCGUUGCUCGGAAUUACUGGGCGUAAAGGGUUCGUAGGCGGUGCGGUAAGUCGGAAGUGAAAUCUCUGGGCUUAACUCAGAGGCUGCUUUCGAAACUGCCGUGCUAGAGUGCGGGAGAGGCGAGUGGAAUUGCAGGUGUAGCGGUGAAAUGCGUAGAUAUCUGCAGGAACACCCGUGGCGAAGGCGGCUCGCUGGACCGCAACUGACGCUGAGGAACGAAAGCUAGGGGAGCAAACAGGAUUAGAUACCCUGGUAGUCCUAGCCCUAAACCAUCAGGACUUGGGGUGGCCCGCGUUGGCGGGUCGUCCCGGAGCUAACGCGUUAAGUCCUGCGCCUGGGGAGUACGGUCGCAAGGCUGAAACUCAAAGAAAUUGACGGA